UUUCUCCCCUCUUCGCCAACCCUAGCCGUCACCUCACUUGCUUUCUUCUUUACCUCUCUUUCUUCAUCCUUUUUAUCAACAAUACUUUCAGGUUUUUAGCAAUUUUGCUGCUUCAUAAAAAACAAACAAGGAGAUUAAAACUCGAUAGUGCCGCCCACACACCCUUUUUACCGAAGUAGUUGGCUCAGCUUUGGUUGGAAAUAGAUAUAUAUUGAGUGGUUACCGGAAUUAUUCAUAAAAUGAAAUUUGGAUUUAAAAAUGGAUGGCCUUCGAUCGUGCGGUUUCGUCUCAAACAUAAAUCAUUGACACCCUUUUGCAUAUUCUCUAAAUUGAAAUCAGAUGGAAACAAACUUAGGAAUACUCGUGUGUUAUCUCAAUGUCUAUGAUUUUACCACUGUUAGUAUUUUCCAGACUGGACUUAGAGUUUAUGGAGUGGAAUAUGUGUUUGGAGCUCAUAGUCAGUGGUAGCUACUUUUACUGUUGUGACAUUUAUCAAUGGCGAUGCUAUGUUAAUAGAAAUCCAGGAGUGAUUAGAAGCAUGACUAAUCCAUAUUUUUGAUGUUUAUAAACUAUAGGUAUAAAACAGCAACUGCUAAAAAAAACUAUAGUGUAUUCGUAUGAUUAUUUAAUGCAGGAAAGUAACAACCCAUUUUUCCAGAUUUUAUAUUCAAUUCAAUUAUGAAAGAUUAUGGACUUGUAAUGGCUAAUUUAAGAGGUUACAUUCUACUAAGUUUAUACAUAUGAAGAAUUAUAUAUUUUUUACACAUUUGUAAAAAUUUGCGGGGGUCUAUAACCUCUAAAAACAAAAC